rnacentral:rRNA from 1 species
AGUAAUGUAUGGGGAUCUGCCCGAUAGAGGGGGAUAACUACUGGAAACGGUGGCUAAUACCGCAUAAUGUCUACGGACCAAAGCAGGGGCUCUUCGGACCUUGCACUAUCGGAUGAACCCAUAUGGGAUUAGCUAGUAGGUGGGGUAAAGGCUCACCUAGGCGACGAUCUCUAGCUGGCCUGAGAGGAUGACCAGCCACACUGGAACUGAGACACGGUCCAG